UGUUGGGUUAAGUCCCGCAACGAGCGCAACCCCUGUGUUUAGUUGCCAGCAUGUAAUGGUGGGGACUCUAAACAGACUGCCUGUGCAAACAGAGAGGAAGGAGGGGACGACGUCAAGUCAUCAUGGCCCUUACGUCCGGGGCUACACACGUGCUACAAUGGGCAGUACAGAGGGCAGCUACUUUGCAAGAAGAUGCUAAUCUCAAAAAGCUGUUCACAGUUCGGAUAGAGGUCUGCAACUCGACCUCUUGAAGUUGGAUUCGCUAGUAAUCGCAGAUCAGCAAUGCUGCGGUGAAUACGUUCCCGGGCCUUGUACACACCGCCCGUCAAGCCAUGGAAGCUGGGAGUGCCUGAAGUCGGUCACCGCAAGGAGCCGCCUAGGGUAAAACUGGUAACUAGGGCUAAGUCGUAACAAGGUAGCCGUACCGGAAGGUGCGGCUGGAACACCUCCUU
rnacentral:rRNA from 1 species